UACGUAGGUGGCGAGCGUUGUCCGGAUUUACUGGGCGUAAAGAGCGCGCAGGCGGUCGUUCAAGUCGCGUGUGAAAGCCCCCGGCUCAACUGGGGAGGGUCACGCGAUACUGAUCGACUCGAAGGCAGGAGAGGGAAGUGGAAUUCCCGGUGUAGUGGUGAAAUGCGUAGAUAUCGGGAGGAACACCUGUGGCGAAAGCGGCUCACUGGACCACAACUGACGCUGAGGCGCGAAAGCUAGGGGAGCAAACAGG
rnacentral:rRNA from 1 species